UAGCUCAGUUGGUAAAGUGCUUGCCUUAUAAGCGGGAGGACCUGGGUUCAAACCCCAG
rnacentral:tRNA from 1 species